GACGAACGCUGGCGGCGUGCCUAAUACAUGCAAGUUGAGCGAUGAAGAUUGGUGCUUGCACCAAUUUGAAGAGCAGCGAACGGGUGAGUAACGCGUGGGGAAUCUGCCUUUGAGCGGGGGACAACAUUUGGAAACGAAUGCUAAUACCGCAUAACAACUUUAAACAUAAGUUUUAAGUUUGAAAGAUGCAAUUGCAUCACUCAAAGAUGAUCCCGCGUUGUAUUAGCUAGCUGGUGAGGUAAAGGCUCACCAAGGCGAUGAUACAUAGCCGACCUGAGAGGGUGAUCGGCCACAUUGGGACUGAGACACGGCCCAAACUCCUACGGGAGGCAGCAGUAGGGAAUCAUCGGCAAUGGACGAAAGUCUGACCGAGCAACGCCGCGUGAGUGAAGAAGGUUUUCGGAUCGUAAAACUCUGUUGGUAGAGAAGAACGUUGGUGAGAGUGGAAAGCUCAUCAAGUGACGGUAACUACCCAGAAAGGGACGGCUAACUACGUG
rnacentral:rRNA from 1 species